AAGGCAGCGAGGCGCUCUGGUCCCCGCAACCCCAGUCUCGCGGUGAGUGCCCCGCCCCAGGGCCGCGGGCCUGGUGACAUCUUCCGGGUCCCGGGAAGGGCUUCGUCGCGGCUGCGGGCGGUGUCCAGGGUGGGUACACAUCGUGUCCCCGGAGCGCAGGAGGGAAGGGGAACCCCGUACGCUACGACUGAGAAUCCACGGUGACUGACCCAGAGAAAAGGCACAGAUACAAGCUGGAGGAAGAGAUGCCAAGAUUUUUAUCCUGCUUUUAGUUGCCUAUUGAAUACUUUCAGGUGGAAAGGAAGUCUAAGUGCUUGUUAUAUCUGGAAACUCUGGCAGCUUCUAUUGAAAAAAAGCAGAAAUUUUCCAGAUGACUUCCAGUAACGACCAGAGUUGGAUUUCAGUGUUACAAAGUAAAUCCAAUGACCUGCCUCGGAUGACAUCUGGUGACCUGCAGACAUUUUCUGAAGGGCCUGUGUUGAGUUUUCAUAACAUCUCCUA